rnacentral:lncRNA from 1 species
GGAAUGUGCACUUUGUGAAAUCUAAUAAAUAUUGAAGUCCAAACUAACUUUAAUUUAUGAAAGCCCUAAUUGAAAAGAUACCUUGCUGAUUGCUCAGUGAACUUACACUGACAAACUUUUAUCUCCAGUUUCUGAAGAGAGUUGUCUGUUUACAUGAAACAAACAAAAACAUGUCACACCUAUUGAGUCACUCGCUGAGAUGAUCCAUUGUCUAGAACAACAGCUUAAAAUUUCUUGACUGUGGUUACCGUAUUCUGGUUUGAGCUUGUAUAUACGCUGAUUUCCCCCUCUGCAGUACCUUCUGGAUUUCAGAGUGAAAAAUUAUUGUCCUUGUUCUGUGAAUUAACAAAAGAAACAAAUAGUAAGGCAAGCAAGUUAUAUAAACCUCAAAGUAUUACAGAUAUCCUGUUGAACAGCAACUAAACAACACAGUUUACCCAUACGCUAGUCUAAGGAAAUCACAGUGUAUUUUCCCUGUUUUUUGGCAAGUUAGACAGCCCAUAUAAAAAUAAAUGACAUAGUAAUUAAGCCCCACUAUCUGAUAUUAAACAGGUUUGGUUUGCCUCCUAUUUGCAUGUUCUAGCUGUGAUAAUUUACUUAAU